rnacentral:lncRNA from 13 species
AGAACUAUGGUUGGUGGAUCGGGGAGAUGAAGGGGUCUGUUGGCAUCGUUCCUAAAGAGUACCUCAUGGAGUUGUACGCCAUUUAAAGGCCUGAGUAGGUAUUAGAUCAUGCAACUCAGUCAUGGGUGAAAUAACUGUUGGGUUGUUCCAGCAACACUAAUGUGUAGUGUUUUUGUGUUCUGUUUCAGGGCAUCUAAAUCCAAUCAUCUUCCAUGUGAGAUGCAGGGAAACAGACCAUAUCUGAAGAGGACACUGAACUAAGCAGCAAAGCCAAACUGUCUGUCGCAAAAUGAAAAAUAUCAGAUGCAGGUCGUGUCCAUCUUGAUCUCGCUAAGCGCUUUAAGGAGUUGUCUCGGCAGAUUGAGUUCAGUAAACUGCUUUUGUUUAAUUUAUUAUCGCUGCAUUUCCCCUUUUGACACAGUCUUUGUAUUGUGAACUGUCUAGAAUGAAUCACUUAUGGAGUCUUUGUAUUGUGAACUGUCUAGAAUGACUCACUUAUGGAGUCUUUGUAUUGUGAACUGUCUAGAAUGAAUCACUUAUGGAGUCUUUGUAUUGUGAA